rnacentral:rRNA from 1 species
CGGGUGAGUAAUGCGUGACCAACCUGCCCCAUGCUCCAGAAUAGCUCUUGGAAACGGGUGGUAAUGCUGGAUGCUCCAACUUGACGCAUGUCUUGUUGGGAAAGUGUUUAGUGGCAUGGGAUGGGGUCGCGUCCUAUCAGCUUGUAGGCGGGGUAAUGGCCCACCUAGGCUUCGACGGGUAGCCGGCCUGAGAGGGCGGACGGCCACAUUGGGACUGAGAUACGGCCCAGACUCCUACGGGAGGGCAGCAGGA